GCGGGCGUGAUGUAGUGGUAGCAUAUAAGCUUCCCAAGCUUAGCGUGUGGGUUCGAUUCCCAUCGCCCGCU
rnacentral:tRNA from 1 species